rnacentral:rRNA from 1 species
CCUACGGGAGGCAGCAGUGGGGAAUAUUGCACAAUGGGGGAAACCCUGAUGCAGCGACGCCGCGUGAGUGAAGAAGGAUUUCGGUAUGUAAAGCUCUAUCAGCAGGGAAGAAAAUGACGGUACUUGUUCAAGAAGCCCCGGCUAACUACGGGCCAGCAGCCGCGGUCAUGAGUAGGGGGCAGGCGUUAUCCGGAUUUACUGGGUGUAAAGGGAGCGUAGAGGGCAGCACAAGUAUGGAGUGAAAUGCCGGGGCUUAACCCCGGAACUGCUGUGGAAACUGUGCAGCUAGAGUGCAGGAGAGGUAAGUGGAAUUCCUAGUGUAGCGGUGAAAUGCGUAGAUAUUAGGAAGAACACCAGUUGCGAAGGCAGCUUACUGGACUGUAACUGACGUUGAGGCUCGAAAGCGUGGGGAGCAAACAGGAUUAGAUACCCUGGUAGUC